UACGUAGGGUGCGAGCGUUAAUCGGAAUUACUGGGCGUAAAGCGCGCGCAGGCGGCUUUGCAAGUCAGAUGUGAAAUCCCCGGGCUUAACCUGGGAACUGCAUUUGUGACUGCAUGGCUGGAGUGCGGCAGAGGGGGAUGGAAUUCCGCGUGUAGCAGUGAAAUGCGUAGAUAUGCGGAGGAACACCGAUGGCGAAGGCAGCUCGCUGGGACGGUACUGACGCUGAGGCGCGAAAGCGUGGGGAGCGAACAGG
rnacentral:rRNA from 1 species